rnacentral:rRNA from 1 species
GACGAACGCUGGCGGCGUGCUUAACACAUGCAAGUCGAGCGGUAAGGCCCUUUCGGGGGUACACGAGCGGCGAACGGGUGAGUAACACGUGGGUGACCUGCCCUCAGCUCUGGGAUAAGCCUGGGAAACCGGGUCUAAUACCGGAUAUGACUCCAUGACGCAUGUUGUGGGGUGGAAAGCUUGUGCGGCGUGAGGAUGGGCCCGCGGCCUAUCAGCUUGUUGGU